rnacentral:rRNA from 1 species
AGACCCGAAACCCGGUGAUCUAGCCAUGGGCAGGUUGAAGGUUGGGUAACACUAACUGGAGGACCGAACCGACUAAUGUUGAAAAAUUAGCGGAUGACCUGUGGCUGGGGGUGAAAGGCCAAUCAAACCGGGAGAUAGCUGGUUCUCCCCGAAAGCUAUUUAGGUAGCGCCUCGUGAAUUCAUCUCCGGGGGUAGAGCACUGUUUCGGCUAGGGGGCCAUCCCGGCUUACCAACCCGAUGCAAACUGCGAAUACCGGAGAAUGUUAUCACGGGAGACACACGGCGGGUGCUAACGUCCGUCGUGAAGAGGGAAACAACCCAGACCGCCAGCUAAGGUCCCAAAGUCAUGGUUAAGUGGGAAACGAUGUGGGAAGGCCCAGACAGCCAGGAUGUUGGCUUAGAAGCAGCCAUCAUUUAAAGAAAGCGUAAUAGCUCACUGGUCGAGUCGGCCUGCGCGGAAGAUGUAACGGGGCUAAACCAUGCACCGAAGCUGCGGCAGCGAACGUAUCACUUAAAGCGAUUCAGCGGGUUACGAUUGACGGAGCGAAGCGACGUCAAAGCGUAUACAAAGUCGAGUCGGUUUAAGGAUACGUUCGUUGGGUAGGGGAGCGUUCUGUAAGCCUGUGAAGGUGUGUCGUGAGGCAUGCUGGAGGUAUCAGAAGUGCGAAUGCUGACAUAAGUAACGAUAAAGCGGGUGAAAAGCCCGCUCGCCGGAAGACCAAGGGUUCCUGUCCAACGUUAAUCGGGGCAGGGUGAGUCGACCCCUAAGGCGAGGCCGAAAGGCGUAGUCGAUGGGAAACGGGUUAAUAUUCCCGUACUUGGUGUUACUG